rnacentral:tRNA from 1 species
GGCUUCGUAGCUCAGUAGGAUAGAGCGGCGGUUUCCUAAACCGCGUCUUGCCCGAGUUCGACUCUCGGCGGGGCCA